GAUGAACGCUGGCGGCGUGCCUAAUACAUGCAAGUCGAGCGAACAGAUAAGGAGCUUGCUCCUUUGACGUUAGCGGCGGACGGGUGAGUAACACGUGGGUAACCUACCUAUAAGACUGGAAUAACUCCGGGAAACCGGGGCUAAUGCCGGAUAACAUUUAGAACCGCAUGGUUCUAAAGUGAAAGAUGGUUUUGCUAUCACUUAUAGAUGGACCCGCGCCGUAUUAGCUAGUUGGUAAGGUAACGGCUUACCAAGGCAACGAUACGUAGCCGACCUGAGAGGGUGAUCGGCCACACUGGAACUGAGACACGGUACAGACUCCUACGGGGGGCAGCAGUAGGGAAUCUUCCGCAAUGGGCGAAAGCCUGACGGAGCAACGCCGCGUGAGUGAUGAAGGUCUUCGGAUCGUAAAACUCUGUUAUUAGGGAAGAACAAAUGUGUAAGUAACUGUGCACGUCUUGACGGUACCUAAUCAGAAAGCCACGGCUAACUACGUG
rnacentral:rRNA from 1 species